rnacentral:tRNA from 1 species
UGUAAUUUAGUUUAGUUAGAAUUUUUAUUUUUGAAAUAAAGGGGUGAAUUACAU